UGGCUCAGUUGGUAGAGCAUGGUGUUUGCAAUGCCAGGGCUGUGGGUUCGAUUCCCAC
rfam:Salmo salar isolate Sally breed double haploid chromosome ssa15, whole genome shotgun sequence.